CAAAGCUUUGACAUAUUUGCACCAAACUUUGUAUGUGCCAUUGUCACCUCACACUGACCAUGCCACAUCAAUUUGGUAACAGCGCCACCUAUUGGUCAAGAGUAAUAAACCAUUCAUUAACCAUUAAUAAUUACACUUAUAAAAAUGCUAGUAACUUCUUAUAGCAUUAGCCUAUUGCAAUGAAACUGGUCUCAAAAUAUUCCUUGGCUUAAGCCGACAACAUAGAUAUCAAAUAUGCCAGAGUACGCUGAACUUCCUGUCCGCCAUUUUGAUUUAUGUUGAAAACCUACUUUUUCGAACUCCUCAUCAACCGUUGGUCCGAUUUUCACCAAAAUUGAAUCAGAUGAUCUUCAGACUGUGCUGACAAAAUGUUAUGGAUUUUGUAUCGAUAGACAAAACCGUUUUCGCAUACCACAGCAACGAACUUCAGGCAUGAUGCCAAAAUG
ensembl:lncRNA